rnacentral:rRNA from 1 species
GGCAUGCUUUACACAUGCAAGUCGAACGGCUGCGCGGGGCAACCUGGCGGCGAGUGGCGAACGGGUGAGUAAUAUAUCGGAACGUACCCAGAAGUGGGGGAUAACGUAGCGAAAGUUACGCUAAUACCGCAUACGAUCUACGGAUGAAAGUGGGGGAUCGCAAGACCUCAUGCUUUUGGAGCGGCCGAUAUCUGAUUAGCUAGUUGGUGAGGUAAAGGCUCACCAAGGCGACGAUCAGUAGCUGGUCUGAGAGGACGACCAGCCACACUGGGACUGAGACACGGCCCAGACUCCUACGGGAGGCAGCAGUGGGGAAUUUUGGACAAUGGGCGCAAGCCUGAUCCAGCAAUGCCGCGUGAGUGAAGAAGGCCUUCGGGUUGUAAAGCUCUUUUGUCAGGGAAGAAACGGGCCUGGUUAAUACCUGGGCCUAAUGACGGUACCUGAAGAAUAAGCACCGGCUAACUACGUGCCAGCAGCCGCGGUAAUACGUAGGGUGCAAGCGUUAAUCGGAAUUACUGGGCGUAAAGCGUGCGCAGGCGGUUUUGUAAGUCUGACGUGAAAUCCCCGGGCUUAACCUGGGA